GUACUGUUGCUCUAAAUUAUUCUAAAACUAUAUUAGGGAUAGACGAUGAAUAAAAUUUAUAAUGCUAUUAACGUGAAUUUUAUUAGCUGUUGAGAUUUGGAUUUUUUUUUUUUGUUGUUUGUUUGUUUGUUUGUUUUGUUUUCUUUUUCUUCUGUGGGUAGGCCGCAAGAGCGGCAGGCUUUACGGGUGGAAACUGUCAAAUCUGGCAACCCACCAACAGCACCAUGUUUGUGUGAGGCGCAUGCGCCAUAGUGGAUAGAAAUUUGGCGCAUUUUCGACGCCAUACGGAUCGACUUGAAAUUGUCUCCGUGUUGAUGGGGCCUUCCUGCUGAAGGAUCAGCUAGAGUGGGUAGGCCAUGUUUGAAAUAGCUGCAUCUGAAGAGCAGCAGACGAGGAACGACGGUAACACCACGGCGUCUCAGCGGCGGUUUGUUUGGCCGAUCCGAGGAGGGGGAAAAUGGCGUCUGGAACUAACAGCAGAUCGAUUAUGGACAUACUAAGAUGAUCUUCAGUGAAGCUGAGGAUUCCCUUCAAUCAAACUGAAGAUCGCUUCCAUCGAGCUGAGGAUUCCGUACAAGGUGCCUGGCGGAUCCGGCCAACCCAUCAAAGGUUUAAGUCGAAGAACUGUUCCAAUGGCGGAUCCAGAAGACAUCUCAGGGUAGGAGCUGUUGCUGUGCUACCGCUAUUGCUGAAGGCCAACGCUAGGCCUCUUGGUGUGCUGGUUUGGUUUGUUUCUCUGCUGAGAGUCAAUGAGCUGAGAAGGAUUCUGCUGUUAAUUCUGUCUUUAGGGUUUUUGUGCUGUUUGAAACAGCUACUGUGGUCAUGUGACCUGUAGAGGUUUAUGCUAUCUAGCAUUUUGGAAUUUCAAGUUCAUAGUUGAAAGUCAGUUGUGAUGAGAAAAAAAGAUGGCUGCCAAUGAUUAGGCAAAUGCGGAUUAAGGGCUGCAGGAAGUGAUUCGGCUUAGUAAAUAUCACUGUAAUACACAUUGAUCAGAUGCCUUCGCAUAAUUAGUGAUUUUUUUCUUGUAUACCUUUUUCAUUUUUUUGUAUCUAUUUGAUAUUUAAAAUUGAAUCAAACAUUUCAAAGAUGGGGUCCAUACUUUAAUAAUUCAAAAACUCAAACAAAUUUCAUUUUUUGUGGUUAAACGGUUCAACGGCAAUUUAAAUUCAAGCAUGAAAAGAGAUUUUAUUUUUGUGUUGAAACCUGCGGCGUCGUGAUAUUUUAUUUCCUCUGGACAACGACAGUCAACAGAAAGAUCUGGAGCUGCAGGUCAGAGGUCACAGAGGAUACACUAAUUCACCAUCUUGUCUUUGCAGGUUUUCAGUUGAAAUUAACUCCCAUAUUUUCUUUCUAAAGAUAAUCCACUGGAACCUGUCUUUGAUUGUUUGCAUCUGGUUUUUCUCCUAGAUAAAUAUAAAUACGAUAAUUUUGAGCUCACGGUUGUGAAUUUAAGGCCUUGUCAAUACCACGUGGUAUAUAGACUCAGAUGGAUACUGAUCAGCAGUUUUUGUUGAGAUGGACACUCUGAAGACACCAGAUGGUGUUAGACUGGUGGGAAAUAUGGAUGUCAAGAUGGUUGUGAUGGCACUGACUGUGAACCCAAUCCCAGGAAGUGUGGUUUGCUACUUCCUGUAGCCACUCCUCAAGGCUUGAAGUCGUCGGAUAAGUUCAAGGAAUUUGGUAACAAAGGUAGGCGUUUUGGUCGUGGGUACAACAACCAGAACUUUGAUUCGCUCAACGCAAGAAAAACACGGUAGGCUAUAUGAAGGUUUGGUGUUCUGGUCUUGGGUAUAGCGACCAGAAGAGAUCUUGUAUUCUCUGGUUUGUGAUCAAAUGUGUAAUUCAAGGGUGUGAUAACUAACGAAUAGGGGAAAUGUCCUUCAGCCAGGUUUCGGGGUUUGACUUGAAACCCGUACCCAUCCUGCUGUCCUUCAUCCUGUUCAGGAAUCCUCCUGGAUCAGGUUUUCGUCUGAUUUUGCCCUUCGUCGACCCUCCAUUUAUGGACGGAAAAGCCCUUUGCCACCCCACUGAUGGACAACCUUAGUGACCUCUGACUUUACCACUGGGCUCAGCAAGUUUUCUGGAGGAAAACCAGGAAGUGUUCCCAGGUGAUCAGGUCGGGCAAACUCUCUCAGCAAUCUUCCUUAAAGAAUGCUGCAGGUAUUUUACUGUUGAAGCAAUUUAGUGUGAGGUUUUGAAAACCAUUCGUUCUGAGUCAUUAAAGACCUGAAACCUGCACCCGUCUUGCUGUCGCUGUCUUCCUGGUUCGCCUUGUUUCCGACUCUGAUUUUUCCUUUGCAGCUUCAGGACUAAAACUGAUCCUGUCUGCAUAAAUCUAAUGAAUUAACGGUUGAAGGUCAUAUGUAGGGUUUUGAUUUUUAAGAUUAUUUCCAGUUCUUGGAGAAAAUAACUGUACCUCUGGUUAACCUGUCACAGUAAGUUACAUGAUUUUCUUUCUACCAAAACCAAAAUGAUUGUUUUUGUAAAGUGCUUUAAGACAUUCGUUGUGAAUUAGCGCUGUAUAAAUAAACAGAAUUUAAUUGAAAAUGUGAAAAGCUAAAGGAAAAUGAAAGAAAUUUGUAACGUCUGUCUGUAGUGAUGAAAUAUUUGGAAAAUAAAGGAACUUCAAGUAAAUGUACUUUAA